ensembl:lncRNA
GUUUGAAAUGAUUUCCCCUCCUUCUUCCCUGACACAAAGGUCUCCUGGGGAGGAACUGGUUACCGAGUCGAAAAAAAUGCUUGAAUCAGCAUGCUGUAAGUUGGUCAAAUGCAACUGAACUCUGUGUCCCCUAAACUAUACCUCUGCUCACUGAAAGCCGUUCAUAGCACUGUUCAGACAAAUGGCUGGUGACUGGUUUUCCACUCAUCUCUUGAAGAUAUCAGUAUCUAGAAGAUUCCUGUGAUCUGUUCAGCUUUGGAAGAAAAAGCACAGGAUUCCUGUGAGGCUGCAGGAAUUCAAGGCUGAAGAGAAGAGGAAUCAGAGAGGAAGCCUCACAGUUAUGGAUCGGUCUGGUUCUCACUGGAUCUCAAAGGAAAAAGGUUUGCUGUUUCUGCUGAGAGUUGAGCCAUGUCCUUCUACUAGAUUUUUUUCCAAGUGCAAGCACUGGGCUCCAUGGUUUUCCUGAUGUCUUGUGUGAUGAGAAAUUGCUUGCAAAACAUUUGCCCUUGUAUGUCUACAGCCCAAGCUGGAAAGUUACACUGCAGUAUAUGGAAUGUGUGGGCUGGGGGCUGCCAACAGCUCUCUCUGCUUCCAUUGACCAAGGAGAUGUAUCUGGGAAAAAAAGAACAAAAAAAAGAAAAAGAAAAAGAAAAAGAAAAAAAAAAAGGUGACAAAUGAAUCAAACUGAGGGAGGGCUUUACCUGGGAAAUAUAGCCCCAGGUUUUCCACAACUGAAGUAAUUUUCCAUGGUAAUUGGAGAAAGAACAUCAGCCAGCUACAGAAGUGUGAGAACCAUCUUCAUUUUUCAUUCCUGGCCAACUAUUUCUCUUGUUGUUUUUAUGGUCUCUGUGAGAGUAAUGUAGCCUGUGAGACCUCGGUUGCGUAGGUUUGCCAGAUACAGUUGAAGCCUACUCCAGGUAGGCACAUAUUGCAUGUACCAGAAGUGAGGAAAAACAUACUUGUUAAUAGCGCUGGUACAAAGGGGAGAAAUUAAUUUUGAACGUAUGAAGAUGCAGCAGAGGUGGGGGAGGAACAAACAACUGAAAUAGUGAUGCUUUUUGCAAGGAAGUGGAAAUCAUGUCAAAACUCUUGAGACCUGGGAAACAAAAUGUUAAACGUCUUACAGCAUUGAAGGCAAGACAAAAGGAAAUACAUUCAGCCCAAUCCUUAGCUCUGCUGCAUUACAGAAGGUGCAGGUUACUGUAAGUGCCUUCUCUGUUAAUUACUGUGACAGGUCUAUUUGUAAUGGGGUCCUCUUUUGUUGCUCCAGCAGCUGGGCAUUAGUCAGGUCAUGUGUGGCUGUGAGUGACAGCUGAUGCCUGCAUGAGGAGCAGCUGAACCACAGAAGGGCGAUGUUGGGUGCUUCGGUUGGCAUGUAGAUCAUGUCUGUCUUACUUGUUACGGCAAAUGUGACGUGUCCUCCUCAUCCUGCGCCCUGCUGCAUCAUGCUGCCUAUGCUCACUCAUUUUCAUGCAGAGUGAAAGUCACAGGCAAAAAGCUCAGCAAGCUGACACCUAACUCAAGUUUAGAUCUGAUGUGACAGAAACUUCCUGUUGUUGGUAUUGUUUCCAACUGUGAGUUCCAUUCUGCACCAUAAAUCGGGCUAAUGCCCAAUGAAAAUAAAGAUAACCCCUAUUCCAUGUUGUUCCCACUCUGAGAGAUACUGAUAGGUAUGGGAAUGCAAUAAGAGCUCAGAGUAGGAUGCAGGAGAUUCAAAGAAAAUAGAAAUACAGGACUCUUACUCAUAUGGAUCUGUAAAUAUUCACACUUAACAACUUCGUAUGUUGAAAUACGCAACCAAAUGUAAUAGGAAUGAUCAUUACAUACUCAAGUAUAGAUUUCUUAACCUGUCACUUAAAUAGGUGUAGAAUAGGUAUGAGCAGAAUUUUUCACAGUGAUCAGCUAUAGUGCUUCUCACUGAAAUUGGUGGGAGACUUUUGGUUUUGGUAUUUUGUGUUUGGUUUUGGUUUGUUUGUUUGUUCGUUUCAAUUGACU